UACGUAGGAGGCGAGCGUUGUCCGGAAUCACUGGGCGUAAAGCGCGCGUAGGCGGCCUGGCAAGUCUGCUGUGAAAGCGCCUGGCUUAACCGGGCGAGGUCGGUGGAAACUGGCGGGCUGGAGGGCGGUAGAGGGGGGUGGAAUUCCCGGUGUAGUGGUGAAAUGCGUAGAGAUGUGGAGGAACACCAGUGGCGAAGGCGGCUUUCUGGUCUGUAACUGACGCUGAGGCGCGAAAGCGUGGGGAGCAAACAGG
rnacentral:rRNA from 1 species